CACCCAACGGCAUUGCAUGGGGAGUUAUUUCUCCCAGAGACCUGGGCUCUUGCCCUGACUUCGUUAUUAACUUGCUGUCUGACCUUAUGUGAGUUACUUCCCCUUCUUAGCUAAGCCUUUGCUCAUCUAGAAAGUGAGAAGAUUAAUCAGAGGCUGGAUUAACUGCAUCUUAAUCUAAAAUAACUUUAAAAAUAUAGCAGACACUGAAGAGCUUCCCAAAAAUUCUCAUGCUGCUGAUAAAGACAUACCUGAGACUGGGCAAUUUACAAAAGAAAGAGGUUUAAUGGACUCACACUUCCACAUGGCUAGGGAGAGGCCUCACAAUCAUGGCAGAAGGCAAGGAGCAGCAAGUCACAUCUUACAUGGAUGGAAGCAGGCAAAGAGAGAGAGAGCAUUUGCAGGGGAACUCCUCUUUUUAAAACCUAGAUCUCAUGAGACUUAUUCACUAUCAUGAGAACAGCAUGGGAAAGACUUGCCUCCAUCAUUCAAUUACCUCCCACCGGGUCCCUCCCACAACACAUGGGAAUUAAAGAUGAGAUUUUGUUGGGGACACAGCCAAACCAUAUCACCAUACCUCUCUAAUCUUCAAUAACAGGUCCCAUGUAACCACUAAACCUUGAAGUUCAGCACUGCUGCCCAGGUUGGAGUGCAAUGGCGCAAUCUUGGCUCACUGCAACCUCUGCCUCCCAGGUUCAAGUGAUUCUUGUACCUCAGCAUCCUGAGUAGGAGGCUGGGACUACAGGCACACGCCACCAUGACUGGCUAAUUAUUUUUUUUUUUUUGUAUUUCUUUUUUUUUGGUAGAGACGGGGUUUCACCAUGUCGGCCAGGCUGGUCUCAAACUCCUGGCCUCAAGUGAUCCACCCGCCUUGGCCCUCUAAAGUUGAAUCAACCUUUUUUUUUUUUUUUGAGAUGGAGUCUUGCUCUAUCGCCCAGGCUGGAGUGCAGUGGCACAAUCUUGGCUCACUGCAACUUCCACCUCCUGGGUUCAAGCAGUUCUCCUGCCUCAGCCUCCCGAGUAGCUGGGAUUACAGGUGCACACCACAAUGCCUGGCUAAUUUUUGUACUUUUAGUAGAGAUGGGUUUCACCAUGUUGGCCAGGCUGGU
rnacentral:lncRNA from 1 species